rnacentral:rRNA from 1 species
CAUGUCUAAGUAUAAGCAACUUGUACUGUGAAACUGCGAAUGGCUCAUUAAAUCAGUUAUCGUUUAUUUGAUAGUACCUUACUACAUGGAUACCUGUGGUAAUUCUAGAGCUAAUACAUGCUAAAAACCCCGACUUCAGGAAGGGGUGUAUUUAUUAGAUAAAAAACCAACGCCCUUCGGGGCUCCUUGGUGAAUCAUAAUAACUUAACGAAUCGCAUGGCCUUGCGCCGGCGAUGGUUCAUUCAAAUUUCUGCCCUAUCAACUUUCGAUGGUAGGAUAGUGGCCUACCAUGGUGGCAACGGGUAACGGGGAAUUAGGGUUCGAUUCCGGAGAGGGAGCCUGAGAAACGGCUACCACAUCCAAGGAAGGCAGCAGGCGCGCAAAUUACCCAAUCCCGAUACGGGGAGGUAGUGACAAUAAAUACUGAUACGGGGCUCUUUUGGGUCUCGUAAUUGGAAUGAGAACAAUUUAAAUCCCUUAACGAGGAACAAUUGGAGGGCAAGUCUGGUGCCAGCAGCCGCGGUAAUUCCAGCUCCAAUAGCGUAUAUUAAAGUUGUUGCAGUUAAAAAGCUCGUAGUUGAACCUUGGGUCUGGCUGGUCGGUCCGCCUCACCGCGAGUACUGAUCCGGCUGGACCUUUCCUUCUGGGGAACCUCAUGGCCUUCACUGGCUGUGGGGGGAACCAGGACUUUUACUGUGAAAAAAUUAGAGUGUUCAAAGCAGGCCUUUGCUCGAAUACAUUAGCAUGGAAUAAUAGAAUAGGACGUGUGGUUCUAUUUUGUUGGUUUCUAGGACCGCCGUAAUGAUUAAUAGGGAUAGUCGGGGGCGUCAGUAUUCAGCUGUCAGAGGUGAAAUUCUUGGAUUUGCUGAAGACUAACUACUGCGAAAGCAUUCGCCAAGGAUGUUUUCAUUAAUCAGGGAACGAAAGUUAGGGGAUCGAAGACGAUCAGAUACCGUCGUAGUCUUAACCAUAAACUAUGCCGACUAGGGAUCGGACAGGAUUCUAUAAUGACCUGUUCGGCACCUUACGAGAAAUCAAAGUUUUUGGGUUCUGGGGGGAGUAUGGUCGCAAGGCUGAAACUUAAAGAAA